GUAGCCUUGCACCUUCGAGGUUCUCCGCCCUGCGGAGCCAAGAUGGGAAUGCGGUCCAAGCCGCAGCUGCCCCCGCAACUGUAAGCGGUGUACACCCAGGCAAUGCCACUGCGCCGCGCGCGGGAAGGUGCCUGGGUCGGCCACAGGCCACGCUGCAAGCCAGGAGACCUGCCUCGAAACAGACUUCCAC
rnacentral:ncRNA from 2 species